rnacentral:rRNA from 1 species
GUAGUUCGGAAUUACUGGGCUUAAAGAGUUCGUAGGUGGUUGAAAAAGUUGGUGGUGAAAUCCCAGAGCUUAACUCUGGAACUGCCAUCAAAACUUUUCAGCUAGAGUUUGAUAGAGGAAAGCAGAAUUUCUAGUGUAGAGGUGAAAUUCGUAGAUAUUAGAAAGAAUACCAAUUGCGAAGGCAGCUUUCUGGAUCAUUACUGACACUGAGGAACGAAAGCAUGGGUAGCGAAGAGGAUUAGAUACCCUCGUAGUCCAUGCCGUAAACGAUGUGUGUUAGACGUUGGAAAUUUAUUUUCAGUGUCGCAGCGAAAGCGAUAAACACACCGCCUGGGGAGUACGACCGCAAGGUUAAAACUCAAAUGAAUUGACGGGGACCCGCACAAGUAGUGGAGCAUGUGGUUUAAUUCGAAGAUACGCGCAGAACCUUACCAACACUUGACAUGUUCGUCGCGACUCUAAGAGAUUAGAGUUUUCGGUUCGGCCGGACGAAACACAGGUGCUGCAUGGCUGUCGUCAGCUCGUGUCGUGAGAUGUUGGGUUAAGUCCCGCAACGAGCGCAACCCUCACUUUUAGUUGCCAUCAUUUAGUUGGGCACUCUGAAAGAACUGCCAGUGAUAAGCUGGAGGAAGGUGGGGAUGACGUCAAGUCCUCAUGGCCCUUACGUGUUGGGCUACACACGUGCUACAAUGGUAUCUACAACAGGAAGCAAGACUGCGAGGUCAAGCAAAUCCUUAAAAGAUACCUCAGUUCGGAUUGCACUCUGCAACUCGA